UAGGGAAUCUUCGGCAAUGGGGGGAACCCUGACCGAGCAACGCCGCGCGAGUGAAGAAGGUUUUCGGAUCGUAAAGCUCUGUUGUUAAGGAAGAACGAGUGUGAGAAUGGAAAGUUCAUACUGUGACGGUACUUAACCAGAAAGGGACGGCUAACUACGUGCCAGCAGCCGCGGUAAUACGUAGGUCCCGAGCGUUGUCCGGAUUUAUUGGGCGUAACGCGAGCGCAGGCGGUUAGAUAAGUCUGAAGUUAAAGGCAGUGGCUCAACCAUUGUAGGCUUUGGAAACUGUUUAACUUGAGUGCAGAAGGGGAGAGUGGAAUUCCAUGUGUAGCGGUGAAAGGCGUAGAUAUAUGGAGGAACACCGGUGGCGAGAGCGACUUUCUGGUCUGUAACUGACGCUGAUGUGCGAAAGCGUGGGGAUCAAACAGG
rnacentral:rRNA from 1 species